CCUACGGGAGGCAGCAGUGAGGAAUAUUGGUCAAUGGGCGAGAGCCUGAACCAGCCAAGUCGCGUGAGGGAGUACUGCCCUAUGGGUUGUAAACCUCUUUUGUCGGGGAGCAAAAGCCGGACGUGUCCGGCUGUGAGAGUACCCGAAGAAAAAGCAUCGGCUAACUCCGUGCCAGCAGCCGCGGUAAUACGGAGGAUGCGAGCGUUAUCCGGAUUUAUUGGGGUUAAGGGGUGCGCAGGCGGAUUUUUAAGUCAGCGGUCAAAUCGUGGGGCUCAACCCCAUCCAGCCGUUGAAACUGGGGAUCUAGAGUGUGCGAGAGGUAUGCGGAAUGCGUGGUGUAGCGGUGAAAUGCAUAGAUAUCACGCAGAACCCCGAUUGCGAAGGCAGCAUACCGGUGCACAACUGACGCUCAGGCACGAAAGCGUGGGUAUCGAACAGGAUUAGAUACCCGUGUAGUC
rnacentral:rRNA from 1 species